rnacentral:rRNA from 1 species
GGGUGCGAUCAUACCAGCACUAAUGCACUGGAUCCCAUCAGAACUCCGCGGUUAAGCGUGCUUGGGCGAGAGUAGUACUAGGAUGGGUGACCUCCUGGGAAGUCCUCGCGUUGCAGCCC